rnacentral:misc_RNA from 1 species
UGGUUCUGGCAUNGAUGAAGAACGCAGCGAAAUGCGAUAAGUAGUGUGAAUUGCAGAAUUCAGUGAAUCAUCGAAUCUUUGAACGCACAUUGCGCCCCUUGGUAUUCCAUGGGGCAUGCCUGUUCGAGCGUCAUUUGAAACCUUCAAGCUUUGCUUGGUGUUGGGCGUUUGUCCUGUCUUAGUACAUGGACUCGCCUUAAAUCUAUUGGCAGCUAGCAAUCUAGUGGUGGAACGCAGCACAAUUUGCGAAUCUUCACAUGGUCGUUGGCGUCCAGCAAGUUACCCUCAACGUUUGACCUCGGAUCAGGUAGGGAUACCCGCUGA